rnacentral:rRNA from 1 species
AACGAACGCUGGCGGCAUGCCUAACACAUGCAAGUCGAACGAGACCUUCGGGUCUAGUGGCGCACGGGUGCGUAACGCGUGGGAACCUGCCCUUAGGUUCGGAAUAACUCCCCGAAAGGGGUGCUAAUACCGGAUAAUGUCUUCGGACCAAAGAUUUAUCGCCUUUGGAUGGGCCCGCGUUGGAUUAGCUAGUUGGUAGGGUAAAAGCCUACCAAGGCGACGAUCCAUAGCUGGUCUGAGAGGAUGAUCAGCCACACUGGGACUGAGACACGGCCCAGACUCCUACGGGAGGCAGCAGUGGGGAAUAUUGGGCAAUGGGCGAAAGCCUGAUCCAGCAAUGCCGCGUGAGUGAUGAAGGCCUUAGGGUUGUAAAGCUCUUUUACCCGGGAUGAUAAUGACAGUACCGGGAGAAUAAGCCCCGGCUAACUCCGUG